GACGAACGCUGGCGGCGUGCUUAACACAUGCAAGUCGAACGGAAAGGCCCUGCUUUUGUGGGGUGCUCGAGUGGCGAACGGGUGAGUAACACGUGAGUAACCUGCCCUUGACUUUGGGAUAACUUCAGGAAACUGGGGCUAAUACCGGAUAGGAGCUCCUGCUGCAUGGUGGGGGUUGGAAAGUUUCGGCGGUUGGGGAUGGACUCGCGGCCUAUCAGCUUGUUGGUGGGGUAGUGGCUUACCAAGGCUUUGACGGGUAGCCGGCCUGAGAGGGUGACCGGCCACAUUGGGACUGAGAUACGGCCCAGACUCCUACGGGAGGCAGCAGUGGGGAAUAUUGCACAAUGGGCGGAAGCCUGGUGCAGCAACGCCGCGUGCGGGAUGACGGCCUUCGGGUUGUAAACCGCUUUCGCCUGUGACGAAGCGUGAGUGACGGUAAUGGGUAAAGAAGCACCGGCUAACUACGUG
rnacentral:rRNA from 1 species